rnacentral:rRNA from 1 species
UACGAAGGGGGCUAGCGUUGUUCGGAAUUACUGGGCGUAAAGGGCGCGUAGGCGGUGCUUCAAGUCAGGCGUGAAAGCCCCGGGCUCAACCUGGGAAUGGCGAUGGAUACUGGCUCGCUAGAGUGCGGUAGAGGAGAGUGGAAUUCCCGGUGUAGCAGUGAAAUGCGUAGAGAUCGGGAGGAACAUCAGUUGCGAAGGCGGCUCUCUGGACCAGCACUGACACUGAGGCACGGAAGCGUGGGGAGCAAACAGG